UGAUCUGUGACAUUCAUAUUUAUUCGAAGUCGACGAAGUUGAUCAGUACAUUUUCACACGCACACACACACACAGAUCUAUAACUAUCUGUGAAAUCGAUGAAGGAAAUGACCAGUAGCAAUGUGUGAUCAGCGGCGCCGUUUCAGACCCCGGGGAGAGCAAGCCGGGAGUUGAACAGUACACAUAGAUCGAUAUUGAGAUGACUAGCAGGACCCGGUGUAUCCGUCCGACACAUGUGUGCAUCAAUACCAGCGGUACUGAUGAAUCCUGCAUGCUGGAGUUAGAAAUCCGUAUACCCCCUCCUCCAUUGACCAUUCGCCGUGGACAAUCCCCACUUUGCAAUCAGUGGACCGCGCCUUCUGUCAGACGCCGAUCCUUUGGUGGCGUCGUGGAUGAGGUGGGACUGCACCGUGACGGCGUGCUAUCGUUUUCAGGGUCGUCUAACUCUGCUGGGUGCACCAUCAUCUCGUCACAACCACGCCUAUGCGUCGAAUGCUGCAACUUCAGUGAAAAUGGUUAAUAAGCACGUUGGAAGCUUCUGAAAGUUGUGCAGUUUGUGAUACAACCUUCGUAAAUGGUUUCGGAGUCAUCGGUCGUGGGAUCAGGAAGCACCCCGACAUCCACACACGAUCACAUCGAAACCUAAUCAUGAAUCGUCAGAAGCAAUGUCUGCUUGUUGUCGACCGAUUUGCCUCAUUCGUCGCUGGCGGCAGGGCAGCGGAUCAGGCUUCGUGGAGAUGAGGAUAUGGAGAACAGCGUGCGUGGAUUUUGUAGCACGAACGUGAUUGCAGUGAAAACUGAUACGUCUAAUCCAGAAACAUUACGUGGAUUCACGACGACGUCGUGGGUUCGUGUUUCCUAGGACUUCGCAUUCGCAUUAGUCCACUACUCUGCAAACUUGAGUUUGAACGGCAUCGUCGUGACAUACACCCUGAAGAUUCAUGAAAGAUGGGUGGUUUGCUUUGAAAGGGUGAAUGUGUUGCUUAUGUUUCGAGAAUGAAGGCGGCUCAACGAAGAAAAGCUCACUCUAGACCCUCUUUUUGUGUUGCAGAACUGUAAGUUUUCUGAAAAGUCGGUAUCACAAUUCGGUGAACCUUAUUAUUCUGUAACUAUUAAGUUCUUUAAUGUUAAUUUUGGUUCUUUGA